CGAACAACCACCGGCUCAGAAGACUCUAAAAAGUAAACCACAAGAGGGCGUGAGAAUUACAAAACUAUAGUUCCCAAUGGGUACAGUCGGCGACAACCACGGCCUGCCCACUAUAUCUACUAGAGACAAGAUAGAGAAUAAUCGAAUAAAAUAAAUAAUACCUAAACUAUCCACCAACAAUAACUAUCACGCCUCUAUACAGACACCAUACAAAGUAAUAACCAUGUCAUGCAUCAACUAAAGUACUAAUAAGAAAUACAAGAUAUCACCCACUCAUACACAUGCAACCCAAUCAACACACUAUAAACCAAUCAUAAACUAAUCGACUCGAUAGUCUGAUCAAAUCUGUGCAUGCCUAUUGCAAGGACUACACCC
rnacentral:lncRNA from 1 species